GGCCUGAGAGGGUGACCGGCCACACUGGGACUGAGACACGGCCCAGACUCCUACGGGAGGCAGCAGUGGGGAAUAUUGCACAAUGGGCGAAAGCCUGAUGCAGCAACGCCGCGUGAGGGACGACGGCCUUCGGGUUGUAAACCUCUUUUAGCAGGGAAGAAGCAAAAGUGACGGUACCUGCAGAAAAAGCACCGGCUAACUACGUGCCAGCAGCCGCGGUAAUACGUAGGGUGCAAGCGUUAUCCGGAAUUAUUGGGCGUAAAGAGCUCGUAGGCGGUUGGUCGCGUCUGCUGUGAAAUCCCGAGGCUCAACCUCGGGUCUGCAGUGGGUACGGGCCAGCUAGAGUGCGGUAGGGGAGAAUGGAAUUCCUGGUGUAGCGGUGGAAUGCGCAGAUAUCAGGAGGAACACCGAUGGCGAAGGCAGUUCUCUGGGCCGUUACUGACGCUGAGGAGCGAAAGCGUGGGGAGCGAACAGGAUUAGAUACCCUGGUAGUCCACGCCGUAAA
rnacentral:rRNA from 1 species